AAACAAGCUGGUGGUGGGAGCGGAUAGAAGAAAAUGAAGACGGCUCCAAACCUGGGGAGCGCGCAAGAAGAUGACACAAACUUUUGAAAUAACAUGAACACGGACAAGGGGAGUCAGAGGCAGAAGAGAAGGUGUUGUGAUGACAGAAGCAGAGAUCUGAGUGACUCACUUUGAAGAUGGAGGAAGAGGUCACAGGCCAAGUGAUACAGAUGCCAGGAGAAGCUGAAAACAGGAGGAAAUGGAUUCUUCCCUCAGAGCUUCUGGAAAAGAUCAGUCUUGCUGAUAACUUGACUUUAGCCCACUGAAACUGAUUUUGAACUUUUGACUUCCAGAACUGUAAGAGAAUAAUUUUGUGUUAUUUCAGUUACUAAGUUAGUGGCAAUUUGUUAUAGCAGGAAUAGGAAAUUAAUACAGUGCUGAAGUAGAAGUUAUGUUGCAUUUAUAUAUUAGUUUCCUGAAAACUGAC
rnacentral:lncRNA from 10 species